rnacentral:rRNA from 1 species
GACGAACGCUGGCGGCGUGCUUAACACAUGCAAGUCGAACGGUGACCCAGGGCUUGCCCUGGUGAUCAGUGGCGAACGGGUGAGUAACACGUGGGCAACCUGCCCCUGACUUCGGGAUAACUCCUCGAAAGAGGGGCUAAUACCGGAUACGACCACUUCGGACAUCCGAUGGUGGUGGAAAGUUCUUCGGUCAGGGAUGGGCCCGCGGCCUAUCAGCUAGUUGGUGGGGUAAUGGCCUACCAAGGCGACGACGGGUAGCCGGCCUGAGAGGGCGACCGGCCACACUGGGACUGAGACACGGCCCAGACUCCUACGGGAGGCAGCAGUGGGGAAUAUUGCGCAAUGGGCGAAAGCCUGACGCAGCGACGCCGCGUGAGGGAUGAAGGCCUUCGGGUUGUAAACCUCUUUCAGCAGGGACGAAGCGAAAGUGACGGUACCUGCAGAAGAAGCACCGGCUAACUACGUGCCAGCAGCCGCGGUAAU